CUGUCUUUGAGCCUACACGUUACAGGUAGUGAAUCUGUCUUUAUGAGCCUACACGUUACAGGUAGUGAAUCUGUCUUUAUGAGCCUACACGUUACAGGUAGUGAAUCUGUCUUUAUGAGCCUACACGUUACAGGUAGUGAAUCUGUCUUUAUGAGCCUACACGUUACAGGUAGUGAAUCUGUCUUUAUGAGCCUACACGUUACAGGUAGUGAAUCUGUCUUUAUGAGCCUACACGUUACAGGUAAUGAAUCUGUCUUUAUGAGCCUACAUGUUACAGGUAGUGAAUCUGUCUUUAUGAGCCUACACGUUACAGGUAGUGAAUCUGUCUUUAUGAGCCUACAUGUUACAGGUAGUGAAUCUGUCUUUGAGCCUACACGUUACAGGUAGUGAAUCUGUCUUUAUGAGCCUACAUGUUACAGGAAGUGAAUCUGUCUUUAUGAGCCUACACGUUACAGGUAGCGAAUCUGUCUUUAUGAGCCUA